CCAGUAACGGCGAGUGAAGCGGCAAGAGCUCAAAUUUGAAAUCUGGCCUCCCCCGGGGGCCCGAGUUGUAAUUUGCAGAGGAUGCUUCGGGUGCGGCCGCCGUCUAAGUUCCUUGGAACAGGACGUCAGAGAGGGUGAGAAUCCCGUCUUGGGCGGGCGGUCCGCGCCCGUGUGAAGCUCCUUCGACGAGUCGAGUUGUUUGGGAAUGCAGCUCUAAGCGGGUGGUAAAUUUCAUCUAAAGCUAAAUAUUGGCCGGAGACCGAUAGCGCACAAGUAGAGUGAUCGAAAGGUUAAAAGCACCUUGAAAAGGGAGUUAAACAGCACGUGAAAUUGUUGAAAGGGAAGCGCUUGCGGCCAGACUCGGGGGCGGGGUUCAGCGGGUGCUCGUCGCCCGUGUAUUCCUCGUCUCCCGGGCCAGCAUCAGUUUCGACGGCCGGUCAAAGGCCCCCGGAAUGUGUCGUCUCUCGGGACGUCUUAUAGCCGGGGGUGCAAUGCGGCCCGUCGGGACUGAGGAACGCGCUCCGGCUCGGAUGC
rnacentral:rRNA from 1 species